UUUAAUAUGGCAGAAAAUAGUGCAAUAGAUUUAAAUUCUAUUUAUGAAGAAAAUAAAUACUUUUAUUAAAA
rnacentral:tRNA from 1 species